rnacentral:lncRNA from 1 species
UUCUGUGGCUGCAAAGGGAAGAGCAAAGUGAAGUGCGACUCCAGGUGGGAAAUAACAGCAGCAGGGCUCUGCAGCUCAAGUUGGAUGCUGGAUAUCACAUGGCUUCCACGGAGUGAAGCUAAGACCUGAGCCCUUGUAGCAUGGGUCAAGUCCACCGCUGGCUGCUCUCAGUUAGACCUCCAGAAGACGUCCCGCCUCCUCUUAUAAAUAGCCACCACGCUGACGGGCUGUGGAUUGGGCUUUCAGUCUGUGUCCUCUCUGAAUGGUGAGCUCCUUGGUCCAGGUGACACUCAUUUCCCCGUGUGUUCUCAAGGAUUGAAAUACC